CAGUCACAUCCGGUCCACAGUCACAUCCGGUCCACAGUCAGCCAGGCACAUCCGGUCCACAGUCAGGAGGCUGAGAGAUGAACAGAGGUGCUCCUCUGGCUUCCUCCUUUGUAUUCAAUUGGCACCCCAGCCUAGGGAAUGGUGCCACCCACAUGGAGGGUGGGUCUUCCCACCUCAAUCAGUCUACAUAAUUUCUUACAACCUUCCCAAAGAUUCGUCCCCAUGGUGAUCAAGUUGACAGGAUGAACCAUCACAGCAGCUGACGUUGAUUGCCCUGAAUUAGAUGACUAACCAGCGAGGCCGUCAGGACUGCUGAGCAACCAGAUUGUGAGAGCCUUCUCCAGCAAGGCUGGCCAUGCAACCUGAGGAGAGUCAGGGCGUGCGCACUGCAGGAUCCCGCUUCUGUAUCCUUUGUGAAGUGUCCUUUCUCCCAGUCAUGAGCACAGUGAGUUCCUGGCCGUGGGGUGCUCUGUGGGCCUACUGUGUGCUUUUCACCAUUGUGGAGUGGCUGCGGUUUUGUUCCCGUGGAGAUGUAGCCAACGGGACCCAUCCCCCCAUCUUGGUUUUCGGAGGCUUCACUCACUGUUGGCAUGGCUCUCUAAACAGUACUUAAAUUUUGCUUUCAGUUCAGAAACUUAUGUGGUGAAGAUCACAGCCAAUCUUCUGUUAACCAGCGCUCUACUUACAUGCAGUACCUGAAGCAACCAGAAGAGGGCAUCGGAUCACCAGAGAACUGAAAUCAGUCGUUGAAACGGAGCAGGGUUGAAGGUCCCUCCCUCAUAGCCUCAGACUCCAACUGUUUCGUCUGCUGCCACUCAUCUUAAGGGGAAAUGUUGUAAUUGCUUCUCCUUAGAUGGCCUUGCCAUGUCAAGGGAGGACACAUCACUGUUGCCCUCUGCCGAGACACAGCAGGGUCCUGUUCUAAGUUCCUCCAUGUGGGGUGAAACAGCAGCUAUUGGGGGAGUAUUUUGCCCUGGGUGACUCCAUUUACACAACAAGCAUCAUUUAGUUCCAUUUUGAUCAAGAAUACAGAGACAGGAGACCGUAUCAAUGUGCAUGCAGACACCACCCUGUCCAGCACCAGCCAGGAGACACAGACAGAUAAUAACUUGUUCCCAAAAAUUAAAAACAUACUUACAGGUCAAUGUGUGAAUGUUUAAACCCAAAUGAGAAACUGACCAAACACACCAAAAUAACAGAGGCCAUGGCAUUUUCUUCUGGGCUCCAUAAGAAGAAUACCUAAUACUGAAAUAUCAGUGGUCCCGCAAACCUGUUCUCCAGCUACCUAGCGUGUGCGUGUCAAAGGACCAAUAGACAGGGAGUGCCCAACCAUCUCAGGGGCUUUGGCUCAGCACGAGGAGUGGCUCCCCGAUGUCUGAUAAGGCCCAAUCCGACAACCAUCUGUACACCCAUCCAUCUAUCCCUUUAUCCACCAGCCUGAACCUCACUUGCAUGCCUCUGCAGUUAGGAUGAACACCACCCUGUGGUUGUGUCAGACCCAGCAACUUGGGACUGCCAGGUCAUCUCUGCCUCUCUCCCAACAGUUCUUUGGGAACUGUUGCAUGCCUGUUAUCCUCCUGCAGCGACGUGGCACCUCUGUCAGCUGUCCUCCUCUGCCUCCAGUAAGGCCUCUUUACACUCUGACUGCUGGUGCCUCUUUAGCCCUGUUCAUAGCCAUUCUGUAACAUAUAUGUACAUGUAGCAUGUAUUGUGUAUAGAGAGCACACAUGCAAUGUAUCUAUUAAUGCAUACAUGCACAUAAUACACAUAUUCACCUGUGUAGCAUGUACUGUGAGUUCUGAGUUAGGACUAACAACUAGGAUGGUAAUGAAAGAAGCUGUGGUUACCAACAGCCGUGCUUUCUAGGGAAAUUGGAACUACUCGGUCAACUGCAGUCAGUGAAACAGACAGGACCUGUGGAUCUGUAGCCAUUCAAUAAACUCAGGCAUUAUGGAAGACACAGGUCUGUCCGUCUACGUUUCUGGUAGACCACGCUCAUGACAGCGACUCUGAAAUUUAAAUUAAAAAUUCUAUGUGAAAGGGCAGCUCCCGAUUACAGACUGGACACGAGGGAAGAAAAUGGAGGUAGUCGGGCUUUGCUGAGAAUGAUUAAAGGAAGAACAUACCAUUCUAUUAAAGCCUAACUCUUUGUGCAUGCACACAUGUGCACAUACACACAUGCACACAUGUGCACAUACACACAUGCACACAUGUGCACAUGCACAUACAUGUACACAUGUGCACAUACACAGGCACACACACGUGCACGCAUGUGCACAUACACACGUGCAUGUACACAUGCACAGAUGCGCACACACUCAUGCAUGCACACAUGCACAUGUACACACACACAUACACACACAUGCAUGCACACACAUACCUGUGCCAGCACACGUAGAGGCCAGAGUUGAUGUCAAGAUGUUUUCUUCAAAAGCUCUUCCACCUGAGUUUCAGAGACAGGGCCCCUCACUGAACCUGGAGCUCACUGGUUCAGCUAGACUGGCUACACAGCCAGCCCUGGAGUCCACCCGUGUCCCCUCCCCCACACCCGGUGCUGGGGUUACAGACACAUGCCUCCACACCUGCUUAGAGGAGAAGGCUAGGGAUGCGAACUCUGCUCCUCUCGCUUGUUCAGCAGUCAGGCUCAGCCACUGCCCAGCUCCACGCAUGGCUUUUUUUUUUAUGUGCUUCUUAAAUUUUUGUGUUUCUUUAAUUCAUUUAAAUCUGUUCUGUGA